UAGUAUGGGGGAGCGGCGAACGGGUGAGUAACACGUUGGAACCUGCCCCAGACUCAGGGAUAACCUACCGAAAGGUGGGCUAAUACCGGAUGGUCUCGUAAGAGUAAAGCUUUUGCGGUCUGGGAGGGGCCUGCGCAGUAUCAGCUUGUUGGUAGUGUAAUAGACUACCAAGGCUACGACGCUUAACUGGUCUGAGAGGAUGAUCAGUCACAAUGGAACUGAGACACGGUCCAUACUCC
rnacentral:rRNA from 1 species